GUGCCACAGGCCUCUCCUGCCUCAUGCUCUCUGCCAGAUUCAUAGAGCAAACUCUGUGUGCAGAUGGCAAACCCCAGGCAGACGUGGUACAGAAGGACAAAGAUCAACAAAAUAAAAUAGCAGAGUUUCCACAGCAGAAGCUCUGGUCCUGGCCAUGUCAUCGUGUUCCUGUGUCCCCUGCAUGUUCCCCACCCUCCUACCCCUCCUUUUGUGUGGACUUCAUUACAAUCAAUUUUAAAUGAAACCUGAAAGAACAAAAAAAAAAAAGAGCUGGGAUAUUCAUCUUCACCUGCCCUUGAGCUUCAGAACUCCAGGUCCUUUGGCCUCUGGACUCUGGACUGCAACAGUGGACGCACAGUUCUCAGAUCACUGACUCGAGACAGAGAACAAGGAACACCAUCAUCUCCCCUUGUUCGUGGGCAUGCAGACUUGACUAAGCAUGCCACUGCACCCCUGGUUCUGUAGUUGUAGACAGCCUAUCGUGGGGCUCUCAGCCUUCACCAUCAUGUGAGCAG